UAGUUCUGUGGAGAUCACUUGCCUAGCAGGCCCAAGGCCCUGGACUCAAUCCACAAGUACCUUGAGAGGAUAGUAGACAUGUUUCUUGGAAUGGUGACAUAGCUGGGAAUUGUACAGAGUUCUUUUUCUAGUUUUAAAAGUCAAUUUCUUUCAUUCUCCCAGGACCCAUUCUGUUAUGAAAACUUGCUGUCCACCCCCCAUGUUUCUCCAUCUUACCUGAGAGUGUUUUUCCUUUUUUUCUUGAAACCGUGCUUAACCCUGAACAGUUAGGGAAUAAGGAAAAGUUUGUCUUUGGCAUCUGCUGACCUUCUUUAUGUUAGAUAUUUAAGCCGUAAUGUAUAGUGUUGCUCUCAGGCAGCCACAUUGAUCUUUCCUGGGCAGUGACAGGCCCCAGAGCAUCUUCAUUAUGACCCCACAGUGAAACUUAGCAAUCCUGUUUCCUGCUGAGCAAGUGCCCAUCUGCUUUUUGCUAAUUAACCUCAUACUCAGCCAUAGAAUUGUGUUUUACGAUCUUAAUGUUGUGUCCUCUCCCUUCCCCUUUGUUUCAGAGCAGAGUCCACCACCCAGUAAAGUCUGGAGACAAAGCUGGGCCUUGCCAUGCCCCAUGGUUGGGCAGCGGUGCCCAGGGCCCCCUCCGCCUGUGCCUCUCCCUUCUCUCACCGCGUGCCCACAGGGGGUCGCUCUCUGGACUUAACAGUUCCUGUUUCCAUCUUGAAAUCUAUAAUAAUAUCUAAAAGUGACUUGCAUUUUCACUGUGCGCUAGGUCCUGGAAAUUAUGUAGGCAUCCUGUGGAACAUUUAUUUAUUCAUUGCCUACUUUCUCUCCUCCCUUUGUAUCCAUCUUCUCGUGCUGCGCCCUCCCUACCCAUGUUAUUUUCAUUUGUUUUGUUUUGAGGUGCUGGGGCUGGAACUCAGGGCCCUCACACUGAGCUUCACCCCCAGCCCUUUUAAUUUAUUUUUAAAUUUUGAGACAGGGUCUCAGUAAGUUGCCCUGGCUGGGCUCGAGCUUGCGAUCCCCCCCUCAGUCUCCCAGAGUACUAAUUACUGGAGUGACCUGCAAUGCCUGCCACCCCCUUUUUUCUUCCUUUUAGUUUCUCUUCACCUCCGCCAAUCCAAAAGUGGUCUCUUACUCAGAGUUUAGUUUUUGUAAUUGCUUGGCCAGUGUAACAGUCCUUUGCAAUACUUUGAGCUUUGACACCCACUUUUAUUCUAAUCCGGGUAGGGGACCUCUGCAGUUGUCUGCAGCUUUUGCCUGGGACUUUUGUAUCUCUAAAGAUGGGCUUGUUUGUGGUCAGUUACAAUUUGUGUUUAAUUCAAGCGCAGUUGUGUCCACAGAGAGCUGAUGGUCUUGGAGCUGUGAUUUAGGGAUCAUCUCGGGUCCAGCCCGGAUUAAGGUACAAACUUAGUGGCCAGUGCUUCCUGGUUUGCUGAUUGAGGUUGGAAGGGCAUCUGUCUCCUGGUUGGGUAAGCCGAAUGCUCCAGAUAAUAGAAUACUUCUUUGAAUGAUUAGACUAUUGACCAUAGUUUCACAUAUAGAUGCCAGGAAAUUAGAAUCAUUCUAGUAGGGGAGAUAGAGAAUCACUAAGCAGAGAUAGAGUCCGAGUAGUGAAUUGUGCUGGGCAGGAGACUGAGGCAGAUCAGGAGGGGUGGCGGGCAGGUUCAGUGUGAUGAGGCCGAGUGGUAGGCUGCUCGCCUGGCCUCCCUGAGGAGGGGCAUUGAGCAGAUCCUCUCUGAGAGGAGGCGGCAGUCCCAGGAGAGAGAGCCCCAGUUCAGGCACCUGUCAGUGGGGACAGGCGGGUCAUAGGAGCUGCAGCGCCAUGUUUGUCUCCAAAUAACGGCUUCUGGGAAUGAGAAAUGAAGCAGUUUUAGUUUGUGUGUGUGUGUGUGUGUGUAUUGAAUUUCUUCAGGAAAGUCAAUUUCUUUAAAAGUAGAAGAUACGGAUAUUUGUAUUGAGAUCCUUAUAGAAAUUAUUUAUCUUUGCAGUUGUCUCCUGGGAUUCAUGGAGGUUGGUUCUAGGACCUUCCGUGGAUACCAGAAGCCUCAGGUGCUCAAGUCCUUAUAGAAAAUGGUGCAGUAUUUGCAUAUAAACUGCCCAUGUCCUUCUCUAUAGUUUAGCUCAUCUCUAGAUGAUUUGUAAACCUAACAUGAUGUGAGUGCUGUAUAAAUAGUUGUUACACUGGAGAGCUUAGGAAAUAAUGACAAGGAACAAGAUCUGUUAAUAUUCAGUGCAGAUAUGGUUUUCUUUUCAAGUGUCUGCUCAGCCAUCAUUGGAAUCCAUACCUGUGGAGCCCACGGAUGUAGAGGGCUGACUGCUCGGCCAACCCGCUUAGGCUUACCCAUGGGUAGUCAGGUGUCUUCAACUGUGCACACUCAAGCUUUUAGUCAUUGUCUGUGUCAGCUCUGAUUUUCGAUUCUUCCUUCCAGCUUGAGGUUGGUGAUGGAAUUGUUAGGGAAGAUUAAUCGGGCUUCAGACUGUAGCCUGUGGUCUUUAGUUGACCGCCCAGUAUGAAGCAGAAAGGCCAAUUUCCGGAUUAGAGCACAGUGGUGCCUCAGUUCACAGACACAUUUGUUUGUAGACGAUUUGGUUUGCAAAUAGAAGCAUUUGGCAAAAUUUUGCUUUUGUUUGCAGACUCUACACCGGGUGACAAAUACAACUGCAGCCAUCUUUCCCACACAAACACAAACAUGGCCAUCUUUUCCCAAAUCUUAGAACAGAUUAAGUUCAGGAACCAAGGUACCAGUGUAUUUGUCAAAAAAAAUUCCCUAGUAAAGAAUCUUCAGGUUGAAAAAUGACUAGUACUUUUUCAAGUUUUAACUUUAUAAAAAAACAUCUUUAGUGAGAUGGUUGUUAGCAAUUUAAAGCAAGUUGUCGAGAAAAAAUACAGACCUAUUUACAAUUCUUAGAAAUAAAUUUGAUAAAAGAAAACUUGAACACUUACAAUUACAAAAGCAUUAUAAUAUUAACACUGGAACAAGAUAGACAUACAUGGAUGUAACACAGUUGAGGCCCUAAAAUAAACACGUAUGGUUAGUUGAUUUACUUUUUAUUGCAUGUAUUAGUGUACAUAUUAAUGGGGUAUAAUACGGUAUUUCAACAUACACAUACAGCAUGCACCAAUCAGAUCAGGGUAAUUAUUAUAAAUAGUUGUGCUAUGUGUAGGGCAUGGACCUUUAAAGUUUAAAUACUUAGAUUUUGAUUUGGAAUGUUAGUAUAAAUGUGUUUAUCCCAUUGGUAGGUAAUGUGUAUAACUGCAUAUUUAUUUUUCUUGUGUAGUUUCCCCCUGGAGACCUAAGUUACCAACACUUUUGAAGAUUAUUCCAAGGGUGUUUAUUUCAGGGAAGUUGGGUGUCGCCUGCUGACUGACAGACUGUUCCUCUAGGGUGUUCUAGCAGGGUGCUGAGGAAAGAGCCUGCCUGGGCUGUGGAUUCAGCUGCGCAGAACCGCACUUUCCUGUUAUGUGUGUGGCUCUGGGUUUGAGUCCCAAAAGUGUUCUUUGACUUUGGAGUUUUUACUGCUAUUCUGCUAGGCUACUUUGGUUAUUUGGAAGUACUUUGUAUAUUUACAUCUUUGAUAGAAACAAAUUGGAGUUACUUAAUUACUAGCUAGUAUUUGUGAAGGCUGUUUAUUGGGAUAGCUGUUUUAGGUUAAUCUUGGGAUCUCUAUUAUCAUCCCAUUGCAUUUACAUUUUUAUUUAAGUCUUUUAAGGCCCUUCACUGUUAAUAUUUUUAGUGUUUGGCUAGCUGUGUAUCUAAUAGUACUUAAUGUCAUUGGCUUAAUCCAGUCAGAUUGGAAAAGAACAUUUAUUAGGAAGUGUGGGAAGAUAGAAACAAGGAUCUUAAACACUUGCCAAUGGUUCAAAAAUCUCAGCUAAUCAUUUGUGUUUGGAGAAUUAUACAAUGUAUAGGAAAGCACUGUAUAAAUGCUAAAUUUAUGUCAAGUGUUAGUUGCCUUGAAAAUGUUUGUCACCCUCUGUGCUGGUGGUAGGAACAUAUGUUUGUUUGCACGGCUACUGUGAAACACAAUAUGGAGGUUCCUCAAAAAACGAAAAACAGAAGUGCUUUCAGACCCAGCAAAUUCACUUCUGGGUAUAUAUUCAAGAAAACUGAAACCAAGAACUUAAGGAACACGCUGCUAUCCUAUAGCCGCCACAUUCACAGUAGCCAAAAGGUGGGAGCCAUCUAAGUGAUCAUCUUUGGAUGCAUGGCAUAUUGUUCAGCCUUGACAAGGAAGGGAGUUCUGCUGCAUGUCACAGUGUGGAGGAACCUGGCAAUCAUUUUACUGAGUGAAGUAAGCCAGCCACAAAAGGACCAAUGUGGGACUCCACUUCUGUUGAUGUACCAGAGUAAUUAGUUUCUAGAGACAGAAAGUAGAACGCAGGUUGCAGGGCGGGGUGGGGAGAGGCGGAAUGGGCAGUUAGUAUUUAAUGAGUGCAAUUUUGGUUUUGUAAGAUUUAAAAUGUCCUAGAAGGGCUGGGGAUUUAGCUCAGUGGUUCUGGCGCCUCCCUCGCAAGUGCAAGGUCCUGAGUUCAAUCCCCAGUACCAAAAAAGAAAAAAGUCCUAGAGGUAGAUGUGAUGAUGGUGUAACAAUGAAUGUACUUAUAAUUAUCGCCCUACAUUUUUAAAGAUGGUUAAGAUGGAAAAAAGGAGAGAGGCCCCCCAUGCAACAAAACACAUACCUAGUUAUAAGCUUUACCUCGAGUGAAGAAGGCAAAUAAUCAUGGAAUUGGGGAUGAGGAGUGGGAGAAGAUGAGAUGAAGGUGAAGCAAAAAUAACAGAAUGGUGAUGUUGAAACAGGGUGAGGGUCCACAGGCCUCACCGCACUAUUCCGUGUCUUUUGUAUAUAUUUGAAGUUUUCCUUAAGAUAAUUUUUUUAUGGUUACUACUUGUCAUUCCACUUAGAAGAUUAAAGAAUCUUGUCACUUGUGGGUCCACCGUGGCUGCUACCUUUUCCAUUAGGCUUCCAGCGAAGAGAGUUGUGAGUGGUGUGGAAGGGCAGGGGCGAAGCUCCUGGUGGGGAGGAGAUGGGAGGAGAGGCGCAGCUGGUGAGAGUGCAGGAGCCAGCUUCAGGAAGGGAAGCCUUCUCAGGCGGGAAUUCUGUGACGCCAGUGCCUCCGGAAAGCUGCAGUACGGCACAGCACGAUCCUCUCCGUUGCUGUUCCUUACCUGGGGCGAAUAUGCAUGUUUUCACUACACACCAGUGCCCUUCGGUACUGUAUAUUCAUUUCUCCCACGAGCCCAGACAGGGUCGCCUUGUUACCCAUGCUUUUUGGGAAGCACAAAAGUGUCUCGACACCGUGACGUUAGUAUCAGAAACACUGUGGCAUGCGGCUGGGGGAGCGUGGAUUUAUCAUGAACAUCUCUGUGCGAAGACAGCUGGGUUCUCAGGCACUUUCGGUCAGUCUCGGGGAGAAUGUGCUGCCUGUUUAUAAGGUGCUUGUGUGGUCGGAUCAUUUCUGCAGAUUGCGGUGUUUCUGUGAGCAGGAUUAGCGUUCUGUGUCACCUCCGAGAGAGCUGGAUGUGGGAAAAGAGCGGGGCUCAGGCGUGCAGUCACACUGAGCUUCCCCUGUACUGAAUCUGGUCGUCCAGCCCUUUCAAGACAGGUGAGCCGGAUGAGAAUGUUUUGAGUCGGUAACAUUAGAUUUCAUGGUUGAUUAUAAGAGAAAGGUGAUAGGGGAAUUUGAUGCAGGAGCAUGAGAGGCAUUUUUAUUUUCUCUGUGUUUAACUAUUGUGCUGGACUAAUUCCGGACAGCAUUCGGAUCAUCCUGUGGACAUUCAAAAAAAGUCUCCUAAGAACUGAAGUGUCUGCAUUCUUGAUAGUCACUGUCAACUUGCCUGCAUCCUCUUUUGCUUUGUGUUUCUUUGUUUUUGAGUGGACUUGAAGAGAUUUUCAUAUAUUUACUGGUCAUUUUUCUCCUCGGUAAAUUAUCUUUGUCGCUCAUAUUUCAUUGGGUUAUUUAUCUCUUCCUUAACAAUUUCUAAGAACUGUCUAUAUUCAUAUUUGCUACAAAUACUUUUCUCUUUGUUCUUGGUAGUUUUUUGGUUUGGUUUGUCUUUCUGCCUUUUCCCCAAACAUUUGUGUCCUUUGACUCCUAGAUCUUGCAUCAUCAUUAAAGUUCUGUGCUUCAAAUUGUAUUUUUUUUUUUUGGUACCAGGGAUUGGACUCAGGACCUUGCGCUUGUGAGACAGGUGGCAGAACCACCGAGCUAAAUCCCCGGCCCUUCAACUGUAUUCUUGAAACUUUCUCCCGGUUUCCUUCAGUAUUUACGCGGUUUCACAUUUCAGCUUGAGCUGUGAUGCAUCCGCAGUGUGCUCUGGCCUCAGGAGUGGAGGAGGAGAUAGAUGCAGCUGAUGUUUUCCGAGUCAGUGCUGUGUUUUGAGCUCGGUGUCUUGAUUUUCUGACUGACGAACAUCGUGCACAGAGCAGCAGGUGUACAAGGCAGGUCGCUGUUGAGUGGGGGACACUGCAUGUGUGACAGUGCGGGACUCCUCUUAAGAGAUGGUGGCUUCUGCUUGGGCGAGGAGGGAGAGCCUGGUAUGCCUGUCCCGGCCGGGGGAAGAGGGCUGCCAAGGGGUGCGCGUUGAGCCCCGAGUAUUGUGGGGCUUAUUAGCCCCUCGCGAAAGAGGUUCAGGCUGGACUGAGGUCACCAUUUCUCAUCAGCAUGUAUUUGACAUGGUAGUAUACUGACAUAGAGAUUGUUUUGAUAGAAACGUGAUUCUGUAAUUUGUCGAUUUACAACUAAAUCAGCAGAAUUCAUUGAUCCUUUUUAAGGGGAAACUUGAUGGUGCCGUUCCUGAGACCACGUGUGGAGCUGUGAAGUGCUGGGACUGUAGACCGACCAUAAAGCCAGGCGGCUCUUGCCUGCAGUCCCACAGACUCCUUGUGUUGUUGCCUGGUGCGCACCGCCCUCCUGCCUCCGCUCUAAGCGAAAGACAUGAGGCCUCAACCUGACAUGAGGUGAUUUUGAGGUCAUCCGCUUUCUGGCUAGAAGUGUGCUGUCACCUGGUCCUGAAACCACUUCACACAGAAUGGUUUGCAAUUUUUUUUGGUGAUGGCAUGUUCAGAAUCUUGGAUCCCUAAGUUGAAUAUGUUGGAAAUAAUUAGAAAUCUUGGAAGUUAUAUGAUUACUUAGUAGGUGAAAUAGUAAAUUUAAUAAAAGUAUAUAAAAGAACUUUGUCCUUUUAAGUUGGCAUGCAUGUCUUAAAUUGUUAGCUGUCAGUAUUAGUGCCAUACUCUUUUGACGGUUUGGGGAUCUUAGGGAUUUCAUAUUUCCUCAGGCAGUUAAGUAAUUCCUCCCAUGCCUGUUCAAUUAGCUUGUCUUCUUUUCUCUCUACUUUGCAGUGUAUGUUACUUAGACCAGAGUAUUGCUCAGACAUAAAGAAGAGGGAAAAAAUCAUCAGGUGACAAUCCAAAAGGUGGUAAUUACAAAAUUUCAACCUGGAAACAGUCUAUAUUAGAAUAUGCAAAUUCUACCCAAAUUAUAUCCAAAUACACUUGGGGCAAAAUGCUGCCAGUUUUCAAAAUUUGACAUUAUAUAGGACAGAAAUGCUAACGAGGAGGAAAAAGAGCUGUUCGUUUUCACCUCCUUGCUUCCCCCUUCCUCUUAUCAGGUGAACGAACUGCAUAGGAGCUAAAAGGUAGGCGGUAUGAAUAAGGUAGAGAAGGGGAUCCCUCUGGUCUCCAAGAAGGCUCAGUGUUCCUCCAAAGUUGAAAGGUCACUUCUUCAUGUACCUGAGCACGGCGUCCAGCUGUGGACUGCUCAGUAAGCCUGGGCUGUGGCCGGGGUGACCUCAGCCUUGGGACGGACGGAGAGCUAGUAUUGCUGCAUAGUGGUAGAUGGCCUGUGAGGGGCCAUGGCGCCCAUCUCUUCCCAGUCUCGCCCGCCCCUGCUGGGAUCGAGACUUGAGAACAUGCUGGGGGACACAGAUCAAAUAUGGCUGCCGCCCUUCUCUGGUGGCCCAGUCUGGACAAGACCGAUUUGUAAGACCACAUGCAGAAACAACUCGGAAAGGAUUGAAGGAGAAAGAUGAAGAAAGUGCAGGGAACUGGAGCCUGAUAAUAGCUUGAGAACAUAUUCACAUAUGAGUUUAUUGCAAGGUUUAUUAUUAGGGGAUUAUCCAGAAUUCAUGAAAUCAGUAUACGCCUCCAAUAGAUGUUUCCUCACAUUUCUGUUGGAAAGCUUUCAGGGGCUGAAGGGCUGCCCAUUACCCCUGCUCCCAUUUUUGUUUUGCUUUGUUAUAAGAGGAAUUGGCUGAUGUAUGUUUAAUAGCAGGCACAAUAAACACAUUAGAUUUUAUUUUUAAAUCAAGUUACAUUUUAAUCUAAACGUGUGUUCCCUAUUUAGCUGUUUUCCCAUUUCAGCUGGCCUUCCUUUUUUUUUUUUUCCUUCUUUUGGUACCAGGGAUCGAACUUGGGACCUUGCACUUGCGAGGCAGGCACCGGAACCACUGAGCUAAAUCCCUGGCUUCAGCUGGCCUUUUAAAAACUUGCCUUCUGUGGUACUUUUGUCAGUAGAGGUGUUUCCUCUGAGCCAAUUCUAGCCACAGUAUUGACUGGGCCUAGGCAUUUGCUAUACAGAGAAGGAAUUACCCAGGCAGGAAAAAAUUUAGUCCCUACUGGAAUGAAUAUUUUAAAGACCUUCUUAGAUUCUAAUAACUGCGUACAAGUGAAAGAGACCCAAGAGUGGGAAAAACUUAAGAACCUCACAAUACAAAGUAGGGGUGGGUGGGCUUAAAUUUCUUAGCGCCAACUUAAAAUGCACAGAGGGAAGGAAGUUACUUUCCUGGGGAAUUAAGCUGGUGUGCAAGAUGCCUCAGUAAGAGGCAUUUUGUUGUUUUGGGUAACACACUACAUGUGGCAGUGUUUUAAGGAUAGUGAUGUGAUCUUUAGAAAUACUGAUGCAUUUCCAAACAGUGAGUUUGAUUUUAUUCUGGUGGGUUCUAAAGAGGUAUGUGGCUCAAAGAUUUACUUAAUUCCAAAAAAUACCUGGGAUAUUAGAAAAAUGUUAUGAAUAAAGUUGUUUUGUCCCCACUGUGUAACUUCAGGAAAUACAGUAGAAUACUGAGGAUUGCAGAGAAUUUAGUACCUGCAUAUAACCAGUUUUUGAUGGUUGCUUCCUAGGAACUUUUAAAUGAAAUUUUCUCUUUAAGUCUUAUGUCAGCCUACAUUAUAUUGUAAGAGGAUUUUAAUGUGUGUUUCAUGGGAAAUCUGUACAUUCCUGAGCCACUGCACUUCACGCCCGAACACACUGCUUACAAUCCAAAGUCUGACUCCGUUUAUCCCAGGAGGAACAGAGGUGUGAGAGUCCGGGUACACUAAGCCUAGAGGGACCCAGAGAAAGUGACCUAAAACCAUAGCCCUUGUGUUUUGGAAUUUUAGACAAACUCCUGUCAGACCUUUAAGAGAAUCCAGGGCUCCUCUUGGCAGGAAGACUGCACAGACCUGGUGUUUCUGUGUGGUUUCUAGGUGUGCAAGGGCUCCUCUUGGCCGAGUGUCAGGAAGCCCUGAUCUGAAGAAAGAGCCUCUUCCUGUCCUUGCUCCAACUGCGUUGCAGCUCUGUCAGUAGUUCUCUGCUGCCUUGGAUUGGGACAUCGGCCUUGAAGGAUGCUACUGUUUCAACACAGAGACCUGCAGCCACAGUCAAGAGAUUUACAGUGAAAUGGACCAAUGGUCUGCGAAGCGUGCAUCAAGUACAAGAGGACAUAGAGCCCUGGGUUCCUGCUGGUGAAAGGGUUAUUUCAGAAUAAGUUGAAUAUCAAUGCCUUGUUUUUAAAAUGAGCGUGCUUUUUGCUAAAAUUUCUGAUGACUAUGAAAGUUUCUUCCCUGGGUCCUUCUCUUGUCUCAGGAUAUCAGAUUCAUGCUGUAAACUGUAUACUUCAAAGUAAAAUAGAGAUUGGAAAUUUGGAA